rnacentral:lncRNA from 1 species
UAAUUAGCCUCUCCAAUCUUAGCCUCUGGAGCUUUGAAGCCUUCGAGGAUCUUGACUCAAUAGUCCAAGCUCUUGGAAAUGCAGUUGUAAUGGGCUAUUUUAAAAGGCUGUAUUGACAUUAGACUGCCUACAAGCUUUGGAAGGUGGAAAUUGCUUUCAGGCAGUCUCAAGAUAUUGCCACGAUUUUGCUUUCGGUUAGACUUUGGACAUGGGGCUUUUGCACCUGGCAUGUACAAUAAUUGCCAAGCAGGGUUAGAAUUUAUAUUAUGAUAUUUAUUGGGAAUGUAAAAGUUGAGUGCGUCUUUCUUUUCAUUGUUAUUUACGCUUAUCUUCCCUCACAUGAUUACUUGUGCUGCUAAGGAGUGCCAUUACACUCAAAAGGUAACGUUUUAAUGCCAGUUGGGCAAAGUGGACGGCAUUGAAGUGUAGGGUCCAAAUUGUCACAGAGAGCAGGAGCUAAGUGGUACAAGCCUAACUUUUCCGGGUGCAACAUGUUAGUACCCCAACAAAUGUAGAAGAAGCUCUGGAUUUCACCUCUCUCUCUCUCUCUCUCUCUGGUGUCUCUGCUUCACAUCACUAGUUCUCAACCAUCUAAAGGAGAGAGGGAAAAGGGAAAAGCACAAAAAAUGAAAGAGAGAAAAGUUUCAUUGACAUAUGCUGUUCCUCUUCCCUGUCACUCUUGUUCAGUUCUGACUUCCAAGAGAAAGCAAAAAUGUUGACUUUUUACCAAAAUGUUCCUUGUGGAAAAAUUGAUCAAAACACCUGUAACAAGUAGUGCCUGUAUCCUCCCAUUUUAGAGAUACAAGAAGAAAAAGGUUAAGAUCAAUCAGUUUUACUAUUUCUAUAUCGUAAAAGCAGAAGUUUGUUUUACUAGGAUCGCUGUUUUCACAGCAUGUCAAAUUAUUCCUUAGAAAUAUUUGGUUUCUGAUACUGAUGCCAAUGACGCCUAUAGAGUCAUGAGUAUGACAUAGAAAGGAAAAAAAGUUUAGCUGUGACAUGCAAACCUCAAACCAUGUGCACUAUUGGUACCUGAACAUGUGUGGUAGGAUAUAAGACUGCUUGAUAUUUGCUUGCUUUUGUCACUUUUGACAUUUUCAAGAGUCUCCUUGACUUUAAAGGUGGAACCUUCAUUCACCAAAGUUUAACUAGAUUUCAUCCUCAAGUCUCUACUUUGCAAUAGGAAAAAAAAAAAAAAAGCCUCUACUUUACAGGAAAAAUACAUUUAACAAAAUUCAUUUACUUUUUGUAUAAUGACUAACUGCUGCAGAUCUUGAUUAUUUUCUGUUUAAUAUUAUAGGUGACAGCAUUGAGUAUGGGUAACAACUAUGAAUAUGAAAUGGCUGCUAAAGUUGAGAAGGUAUGCUAACUGGUCGUUGAAAGUUUUCAGCUUGCUCUUUAUACAUGAAUGGCUUUAGCAGUUGGUGAAAAACUUGAUAUUUGGAGUUCCAGUAGAUGUGUUUGUGUUUUUUAUCCUGUUACCUAACUGAAAUUCACUAAUAUUCUCACAAAUGAAGAACAAUGAAACUAGAAGUCAAGGCUGAGAAGAUCACGCUAAGGAGUAGUUUUUUAGGGCCAACUAAUACGAGGCAUGGAGAUAAAUGGUUUUGCCUGAUGCUUAGCUAGUUGAAUUUGAAACUGUGUCCAUUUAACAUGCUCUCAGAUGGAUCCUGGCCUGACAAAAUGAGCUCAAGCAUGACAUGAGAAUUUGAGCUGCUUGACCUUUAAAACAUUGAAGACUGCAUCAAUGCUAGUUAAGUAUUUGCAGCAAAUGUCAAUGCAGCUUUUCCAUUUUGCACCUUGAAACCAUGAAGACACUUCUCAUGUCAACAAAGGAUGCUAGAAAGGCCUUAUGCAAAAUUCUAAAUGCUAUAUUACCUGAUUAUCCAAUUGAUUUUGUUUCACGGCGUAACUUAUUGUCUUGUUAAGUUCCCUUUUUUCCUUUUGUCAUGCCUGAUAUCAUUGGAGGGAGACACUGUAUUUUUUUUUUUGCAGAUCUAUUACUUAGCAUAUGACAAAGCAAAAUCAGUGCUACAAAAAAAUCGCAAAGUGAUGGAGAAAAUUGUGGAGGAAUUGCUUGAAUAUGAGAUCUUGACUGGAAAGGUAAGGUACCUGGUUAUUUGCUUGCGAACAUCGAUUUUAGGUAUACAAUUACAUUAUCCUUUUGUAUGUCUUAGAAAAUCUGCUUUAAGAAAUUGUUAGGAACCAUUUGGUAGUCUGUUACCUUCUAGCACUUGUUUGUGAGCAUGUGAGCAGGUUCUUUCCUUUCAUUUUUAUGCAUGCAUGUUGAAACCUACAACCAUGGGCUAGUUAGUGCCACUCAAUAAGGUUAAAAAUCCUUAUGCUGUAUUCAUGAUCGAAUGUGCUUGAUGAAGCUGUUAGAUAUACCUGUUUUGUUGUUCAUGAGGUUCCUACUCUUAUGGUGGUCAUUUCGUUUCUGACUGACUUGCUUUAUGUUUAUGCUUGUCAGUUUUCAUGCCUAGACCAAGCUGCCAUGUGUAGAUAUGGAUCUUGUUCAAAAUUUUAAGUGAAUGCAUAUGUAUCAGCUCACCUGAAUGAGACCCAAGUCCAAUUUGCAUUUUAUUUUGGUUGACAUAUCUUGGCCUGAAUGUGAUUGUGCCAAUCUGAUUUUGGAAAUGUUUAAACUGCUGUUUUGUGUCUGUUGUUUCCUAUCUGAAGGCUACAUGUGUUCAUCAACCUCCUAAACAACAAAGAAAUGCAGAUAUCCUAGACCUGUAUAGUGCCAAUCUGAUUUUGGAAAUGUUUAAACUGCUGUUUUGUGUCUGCUGUUUCCUAUCUGAAGACUAUAUGUGUUCAUCAACCUCCUAAACAACAAAGAAAUGCAGAUAUUCUAGACCUGUAUAGUGGAGCUUAUAUAUUCUUUAAGUAUUUGGUGCCCUAAAAUGAGGCCUUCAAAUUGGUUAAUGGUACAAUCUGCUACUUCAGUUAUACUGUUCUUAAUUUUUUUAAGGCACCAAGUAUGCCUGAUAGCAAUUGAAUACUUCAGGGGCUACUAAAUCUUUUUUGUUUCUCCUGUAGCUAUUGAAUUUUUUGAGUAUGCAUAUUUUUGUAUGAAGAAAUACCUACUUGCGUAUGGUUUUAUGAUGUAUGUGUGUUUGUGUCUGUGCCUCGUGUGUAUAACAUAUGUUGUAUGCAUAUAUGCAUGUCUCUCUGUGUGGUUGUAUACUUGAUAUCUCAUUGCACAACUAUGACAUGCUUGUCAACAUGGUGGUACGGAAAUCACUGAUAAUAAUUAAGGCAUAAUUUUGAGUUUUGAUAACUUAUCUUUGGGUCUGUGAUAUGAGAAGUGAUUUUUGUAUUGGAAGCUCAUUGUUCUGGGUAGAAAACAUUGUGGUUUUGUAUUUCAGCAACAAGGUCAUUGUAGAAUGUCCAAUAAUUUGGGUCACUUCUGAAGUGUGAGUUUUUCAUACAGUCUGCAGAUUAUGUUGUUGCUAAUGUCCCCCACAAACACACCCCCCCCCCUUUUUCUUUUUAAAUUUACAUGUGGACCAAGACUAUGUUGGGACAUUUACAUAUGGUUCCACUAGAGUAAGCUGCAACGUGAAUUUUUGAGUUUUCAAAUCACAUAGGGGGAGUCUGUUUGGAUGGCCUCUUUUUGGCCUGAUUGGGUGCUCUUUAGGGUGUUAUUGGGGUGUUUUGGACAACUACCAGUAUUUACCUAAACAACUACAGUGAGCUAGACAAACGCCCAAAAAUCACACCAUUCAAGCAGAACAGAUCAAUCAAUGUAAUGACAAUUGAGGAUGAAAUUUGAAACCAACCUCUUCGGACUGCUGAGAGAGGGCUUCCCCAACUCUGACCAAAAUAUCCUGAUAGAGGGACUAGUUUGCUUCAGUGACCUGUUUAGGUUUCCUGGAGCUACUUGAUUUUGUAAUUAAAAUCUUUUUCUCUCUCUAACACUGUUUGACUUAUCUAUAUCUUACCAGGAUUUGGAGAGAAUUUUUGAGGACAAUGGUGGGAUUCGGGAAGAAGAACCAUUUUCACUUUCAAGUGCAAGUGGAGAAGAGGUAAAAUUUUUCCAUUAUGUUGUGGGUUUACUGGAGUGAAUAUUAUCGAACAAACAUGGGUUGACAAGCCACCCUUGCCAGGCCAUAGGCCAGGGUUUUGCUUGUCCUUGCCAUUGAUAGUGCACAUUCUCCCGUUCUUGUUUGUGUCCUUAUGAGCAUGGCACAUUUCUGAAUGUCAUGGUAGAGUAGUAGAUGCCUUGUGAAAUGUAACAAAUAUUUUUUCCAUAUUAUCUAAUGACUAACAAGUUGAGAUCGAUGGCGGAAGGUUUUGUGUCAUUUUUCAUGUUAAAAUUAGAUAUUGAAGUUAGCUGCUGUCUUUUGUUGAUAUACAUGACUGUUCUUCAAGACAUCAUUCUUAGAGGAAGUAACUCAAUUAUGCAUGUGUUAAAUGCCUCCGACUUCUUACUUUACUCGUAUAGGCAAACAAUGCAGGAGAAGAUUCUAGUUUGUAGAUUAUUCUUAUAGUCCUUAUAUUCUUAUCAUUCUUCGAGGCAAUUUCCAGCUUCAAUAUCAUGUUGUCGAACUAUUGUGAUGUAUGGAAUUUUGGGCAUACAUAUUUUUUAGCUGUUGAAACUUUGUCUAAAUGAACCGACUCUGUGACUUAGAAACUUCAACCUAACGUUUAACUAAGUGUUGCUCCGUGUCCAUUUUUUAUUUAUUCUUUUGUUGUCAAUCUUCAUACAGCCAACUGAUGCUAACAUUCACAUCUUGGCCUUUUUAACCAUAGAUGGAACUCUCACUUUAGACUAAAACUAUAUCAAUCUCAGAAACCCUAGAAUUUCAUGAUUAAUGGAUUCUCUGUGUUUCCAUGUCUUAGAACUUGAGUCAGAAAUAGUAGAAUUCUUUUCAGUUGCAAAUUGAGAAUAAUCAGUUUUUUAUAGUUGCGAGUUACUUGUGUUUCAGUUAAUUUAGCUCGUAUAUGUUGGUUGGAUGUGAAAUUGUUGAUAAAUACGUUAGCCAAUGAAAUACUGCAACUUUAUUUGUUCCAUAGCAUCUUCAUUUGGAAUGUCUAUGAAAGCUCGAUAAAAUUUCGAUGUUUGCUUUUCAGCCCAUCUUUAAGAGCUUUCAUGAAAAUGGCAAUGCGUUGGGAAGUUCUCUUCUCACUACAUCAAGCUAGCAAUGAAACCAUGAACUUUUGGGAUGCAAGUUGUCGAGGCUAAUCGUGUGUCAGGCAGGUAUAUGACAAAAGUACACAGAAUGGGAUAUUUGCAGUCUGAAAGUCGUAGUCUCUAGCUGAGAAAAGGCCUUCUUCAUUUUUUUCCCCCUAUCUACCUUCAUUGAGGUUAUUAUUUUAAUAGUAGUGGAAAACUUAGGCGAGUCUCUUUCCAUUUUUCGGCUCUUGAUAGGCUUCGCUGUGUAAAUUUUGCAAAAUUUUAAGCGAAUGAGCAUGUCAAUGUCCUGCUUCUUUAUCUGUGAAAAAAAUAUUGGGUUGUUUGUUUGUUUUUUACUAUAUUCUUUCCACAAUGCAUUGAGUUGCUGAUAACCAGAAAUAGAUUUUGCUUAUCCGUGGCAUACUUUUGCUUUUAAUCGCACAAGUGGUAGACAAAACUACUCUUGCACUUUGCCACAUGUUGUGCAUAUUUCAAAGAUUAAGAGCAUUAAUCGACGCAAUGUUCACAAGUGCACCGGUUAGUUAGUUUAGCGGUCAACUUGUGAAGAAAAUUUGUUUGAAAGGCCAAAACUUGACUAGACCAAUAGUUUAGCUGUCGCUCAAGUUUUUUGUCCAAAAAUGAUUGGUCACAAGAAAAAUUUUUAGAUUACAUAAGUGGAAUUGUACAAGGAGAUGUUUUAAAUUGGUUAAGAGUUUGGGAGAAAAAUACAGAUUAGCUUGACAGUCAAAAAAGGCUAAAAUCAUAGUAAAAUAAUGAUUCUAAAACUAUCUUUGACAGAAUUCGCUAGUUAAAUAAGAGAAGGAUUUGGAGGUGCUAUUUCAAUUGAAAAGCAUUAUGAAUAAAUAAAAUUAGCCUAAAAUAAAAGCAAAAUAUGUGACGUCAAUAAAUACAUUGAUUUUGUAAAAUUCUAUUAGAAGUAUUUAUGGCAAUUAAGGUCACAACUCAUGGCUCAUUGGGCAGAACAAAUUUUUCAUAAACUACCUUUGCCAUGGAGAGAAAUUUAUGAAUGACAAUAUGCGGACCAUUUAAAAAAAAUUGUGACAAAGUUCUUUAUGAAUCUUAGGAAAUAGGAUAUGAUUCAUGAAGCCCCUACCCAAAAAAAAAAGGGCACCUUAGGUUUAGAAAAAGGGAAAAAAGAAGCAUUUUUGUACCAAACAAAGAAAUAUGUUAGGAAGAAAAUUUUUUAGGAAUAACCUUAGGAUAAAUUGUACUUGUUAUUUUAGCAAUGAAAAAGGUUAUAUAGCAUCUGAAUGUCUUGAGAAAACUCCUAGGGUAAUAAUGUUGGAAAUUGUGCCUCAAAUUUAAGUGUUUUCGAAUGUCCAUUCAUUUUUCCCCUAGGGUUGCAUUCACUUCCCUCCUAGAUUCAUUACUAUAUUCAUGUACGUCUUGAAAUUUAUGGAACUAAAUUCAUGUACUUGUAAUUCUAAUGGUACAUGCAUCUAUAUCCUUAUGUUCCUAUAAAUAGAGGACUUGAAUUUUCAGUUAAAUAGUGAAUUCUAUUUUCGUUCUUCCUUCCUACUCUGUAAUAUACUCCCUCCGUCCCAUUGUUAAUGUCAUAUUUCCACUUUUUACUUGUCCCAAAAUUUGAGUCACUUUAAAAAAGUCAAACUACUUUUAAAAUUACUUUCCAAUUAUACCCUUCUAUUGAAAAGUCAAAAUUGCACUAAACAAUUAUGAUGGGCCCUGCCAUAACACAUUUAGCUCCUUGCGUUUCUUUUUAUUUCCGUUACUUUUCUUGGACUUCAAAUCUUUGUUAUUUCUUUUUUCUUCUUUUUCCUUGCUUUUUUUUUGUGUUUUUCAUUUCCAUUUCUUUUCUUGCACUUCAAAUCUUUGUUUUUUUUUUCCUUUUUUCUUUUUUUUCCUUGUUUUUCAUUUUUUUCUUUUCUUUACUCUUUUCAAGCUACACAAGUGUUUGCAGAUGCAAUGAAAGUUUCGUUUCUUGUCUUUCUAUCUUUUUUUUUUUAACAAAAGAACAAAUUUCUUACAAUAAUACAAAUCAAGUUUUUUUUUUGGAUAAACAAAUAAAGAAUGCUAGAUGCAUUCCUUACCCUUUUGUUUAUCACUAUUUAAUUUUUUUAAUGUAAAGGUGAAAAAAGAAAAGGUAAAAUUUGUCCUAUAACUUGUGUUCUUGCUCUUAAAUUUGCCUCUAGUAUCAAACUAACAAAUAAAUAGAGUGAAAAAAAUAUCAAAGAAAAAAUAAAAUGAUCAACUAGUGCGUAUUACGUUGAAAUCCUAAACAUCCAAGCAAGGCAUUAAUUUGAAAGCACCAAGACUAAAAUAACAUUUACUGCUCAUUGCUUCCAAGAGUUCAUGGUUGUCUAUACAAAUCAACAAAAUACAAAAUCUAUGCCCCUAAAAUAGAUUCGAGUGACAACCAAAUCUUAUAAGCAACCCUCAAAAAUAACUUAGGACCAAAAGUCAAGCCCCCUGUUUUGCACAAAAGCAUUAGUAGCAAAGUCUAGCAAAAGCCAAGUCGUACAAAAGCAUUAGUAGCAAAAGUCUAGCAAAAGUCAAGUCCCCUGUUUUGUACAAAAGCAUUAGUAGCAAAAGUCUAGCAAAAGUCAAGUCUCCUGUUUUGUACAAAAGCAUUAAUAGCAAAAGUCUAGCAAAAGUCAAGUCCCUUGUUCUGCACAAAAAGCGUUAGCAUAAUCCAAGUCCAGAAACUUGAUCCAUGACUUGAUAUACCUUCAAAACAAAAUAGAGAAAAAGAAAUCAAUCAUAAGUUAGAUAGCAUUAUCACUACCUUUAUCAUAAUUUAGAAGUUAGCAAAGUUUAAAUAAUAUGGAAAUUCUAACCAAUACCAGUACAUUCAUGCUUGUAGAUAAUGGAUGAUUUUGUCAAUAAGCUCCUUAUCACAUCCAAUUUGCAAAGGAAGAUUUCCAUCUCUUAUCAACCGUUGCUUCCCAAUAUGUGGAACUUUGUAAUUAUUCCCUCCACAAUUCUUCAUCACCUCAAGCAUACAUAGUUGUAAGGUUAAGAACACAUUGUUGAGACUUUCAGAUGAUAAUUCAUCGAAAGACUUUUCAACAGCAGAAAUUAGUUCGUCAAUAGAGUUAGGUGCUUCUUGAUGCUGGAGUGAUUGAAUGGCUCUAAAAUACCCAAGAUCAAGAACAUUCAUAUCAGGGCUAUUAGGUGGUUGAAAUGAUAAACGAAUAUCAAAACCUUCUCUUGUGGCAGCUUCUAUGAACUCAACAUCCAUUGGAUCAAUAUGUGGUUUUGCAUUAUCUUGUUGGAUGAAGAUAGGGCUGAUAACAUCACUUUGUGGCCAUUUAGCACGAAUUGCAGGCAAAACAUUAUCAAUUAAGCACCUUCUAUACACUUCCUUGGUCACUGAUAGGAUAGGCUUUGUUUCUAGAGUACCAGCAACACGAUUUUUGCUAUUCCUUUUAGCUGGUUCUUUGAAGGCAAAAGGAAAUAUUCCAAUUUUCCCAUCAAAGUGCUUGUUUCUAGAACAAUCAAAGCGAGGUCGAGCAACUGCAGCUAGAAACAUAACCUUAACAAUAAACUUUUUACUCCUACAAGUCCUCAUAGGGUGUUCUUCUUCAGGAUGUAGGUAGUAUUUCUCAGACUCCUUAGUCAUGUAGAACCACUUUUCAUCGAUAUGAACCAUAUUGAACAUGUUUUCGAAAAUAGGUGCAUCAUUAAGACUCUCUUGUUGAAGCAUUGACAAACAAAAUUUGAGUCUUACCAAUUUAUUGUCAUCAGUAAGGUGAGGCUUUAAUGCAUUUGAAUGUGCUUUGAUAACACCUUCUUUUAUUCGUCGAUGAAGAGUGGACUUGGCAACUUUCAUUUUGGUUGAUAGAGAACGAAUAUUUGUUCGACACCGUAGAGGUAUUUCCAUGAUAGUGCUGAAGUCUAUCUCUAACCUUUUGCGUCCUGCCCUCUUAGGAAACCUGCGAGAGAUGUCAACCGAGCCUCCAUUAAUGAUUGAAGACUUUGCUCUUUCCCAAAUUCUUUGUACUGUCCUCGUGCUAAUUUUGAACUGUGUUGCAAUAACUUUGGUUAAUCCUCUUUCUAGUUGUCCACCAUAACUAUAUUGCAAUAAUGCUUCAAAUAUGGCUUGCCUUUGCUGAUUUGUCAACUUUUUCCUAGAGAUUUCAUAAUUUUGAAAACUAUGAUUAUCCAUGUUCACUGGGGAAUAUUAUCAAACAGAAUUUGUGCAAUAGACGAAUCUCUCUAUAAUCUCAUUAUAUAGAGAAUAAAGGCAUCAGAAUUAUCAGCUUCCAAAAUCUAUUUAUAAGAAACGUGAGAAACAAAAAGCUUAAAAAAAUGCAUCUACAAAUUUUCAAUGAACCGCCAAAUUUCAAGAAAAAAAGGGAAAAACAACAAAUGGCGCCAAAUAAAAGAUUAGCUAAAUUAUGUUAAGUCUCAAGAUUAUCUACUUCAAAUUGAUCAAAAGAUCAUAAAACAAAAUGAAAAUAAAAAAAAAGCACCAACAAAGUGAUAAACGGAAUUGUAGAAAUCUUACCUUUUUCCAUUGUCAAUCUUCUGUAACUGAUCUUGUUGAUUUUAUGAAACCCAAGUAUACAGAGGAAUAGCUAGAGUUGGAAACGGAUGUUUGCUUUACUUUAACUUGUCUGCCUUUUAGUCAAAUGUCUUAAUGGCCAGUGGUCCCCAACACCCAAUAGCUUGUUAUUUUACUCCACGGACAACAAAGGGCACGAUUGGAAUAAUCAGAUAAAUGUGUCCCAUUAUGCUACUGUACAUAAAAAGUGUGUUUCCCAAAAAGCGACCCAAAUUUUGGGACGGAGGGAGUAUUGAGUAAUCCAUUACAGGUUCAAAGUCUUAACUUGCGAAUGCAUGCGAUCGAGACUAACCACCAAGGACAUGUUCCUAGAGCACUUUCAAAGGCAAUAGAAUAUCCUACAUUUCGACUUUCCUUCUGCCAUCGAUUAUCCUAUUUCUUUGAGUUCUUGUUCAAGAGUUAGAGCACUCGUAUUGCACCUUUGUUUUCUUUUUACUGAAUUUGAAAUUAUCUCAUAUUUUAAUUUAGCUAUUUAUACCAUUGUUUUCUUUUUACUCAAGUAAUAGCACUAGUGAAAUUUUUUUUUUUUUGGUGUAAAAAUUUAUACUUUGAUGCCUUGUAUCAUUAUUAGUGAGAUUUUUCCAUCAUUUUUUAUUUAUAAAUAUGUCAACAUCUAUUUGCUAUUACUUGGUAUGUGAAAGGACAAAUAGAACUUGAUUUUUAGUUUAUGCUCCUAUUAAAAUAAUGUCCUAACUCUUGGUCUAAAUAGUUUAGAUAAAAUUUCUAUCUGUAAUAUUCAACGAGAAAAAGAUUGUAUAAUGAUCUUAGAAACUCGUAAAGACAGGGCCAAAAGAAAGAUACUUCUACAAUUUGGUCUCUCUACCUCACCAUGCGUUCUGCCCUUUCCACUGUUAUUUACUUUGUAAAUAUUUUUAGUUUCCUUUCCCAUCUCUCUUUGAAAAUCGAUUUCUGUACAAUUUAGCAUAGCCGCUUUCGAUGUCGGGUAGCAUUGAGUGCAUAGAGAAAUCUUCUCCAAUUAUUUACUUAUAUCUCUUCUCUAAGUGUUGAAAAGUUCUUUCUUUUUGCACAGCAAAUAUCUAUCAGUUGGCACUGCAAAUCUCUCUAUUGUUCUUCUGUUUCUCCUAUUGUCAACCAAUAAAAGCAAAGCUUUAUUGGAGAAAGGCAACAAAGUCUUCAGUUAACUAACUCUAGAAAGGCUAGUUCAAGAAUAUGGGUAAUUCAAAAUUCCUAAGUUAUACUGAACUACCCUAAACGGGAAGGAAGACACAUCUGUCAGUUUAGAUAAUGACAGUACAUGCAUGCAUGCAUGCAUGCGUUGAUAUAAGUUCAAAAAUUUUGAUUGAAUUAUAUAUUAUGAUUCAACAAACAUGGAAAGCUUGUCUAGUCUAACUCUAACCAACCAUCUAAGAAGGUAGUUCAUAAUGGCCGAGGCAAUUGUAGCUUAUCCAGCAGUCAAACUGUGAAAUUGCAAGGAAAACUUGCAAGUGGCAGUUAUGUGAAUCUCGCCAAGGAAAACAUGGACAUGUCAGGAAAUGGAGAAGAAUCCGCAGAUUACAUGAACUGUAUAUACAAUACAGUUAUUAACCGUUAAAAACAUGUCUAGAGUUGUAUCUCUUCAAAUGAUAGUUGAAACCUGAAAAGUUGCGAAUGGAACGUAGAAAUCUACUUCUAGUUAGUGGUUUUGGUGGUUUUCCUAGCCUGGAGUUCGAGACAUCCAAACAAGGAUGCCCUGUGGCUAUGGCUACACCCUCAGUCAUAUGUGAGGUUUGGUUUUCACUUCCUGCAUUCUGGAUCAAAUUCCAAAGAUUUUCCCUAUCAACCGCUCCACAGACCUUGAGGUUCUACGCGAUAAAUUUGAUUUAGCAUCGCCAUCCAAUCCCUACUGGACGUUCUGACCUACCAAUCAAUCCGGACAAAGAACCACCACAAGUCACUGCAAAUACCAUUUAUCGAUCCUGGGGGCUGAUUAUCCUGUAGAGAAGCUUGCUUGUCAUGUUUCAGAUGAUGCCAGUGCACUCCUCACCUUUGAAGCAAUGGCAGAGGCUGUUAGCUUUGCCAACUUGUGGGUUCCAUUCUGUAGGAAACAUGACGUCGAGCCUAGGAACCCAGAAUCCUACUUCAAUACAAGGCGCCAUCCAACUAAGAACAAGAAGACAUCUGAUUUUGUCAAGGAUAGAAGAAAGGUUAAAAGGGAAUACGAUGAAUUGAAAGUAAGGAUUAAUGGAUUGCAUGAUUCGAUAAGGAGGAGAUCAGAUGCUUUUAAUGUUAGAGAGGAAAUGAAAAUACUAAAGCACACGAGAAAGCGGGGUGGAUUUUGUGGAACCUGUUACGGUCCAAAAGGACCCAUUGGCCUGGCAGUUGGGCUGUUCCAAGCGAAGACCAUGCUGAAGGAGAUCACGCUGGAAUUUUGCAGGUAAAUGAGCACUUUCAGCUACUAGUAACUAAGUUCAAUUGCUAUAAAAUUAUAUAAAGUGCAUAAUCCUCAGCAUCGUCUAGUGCCAAUUGAAAACACGGUGUUAACAUUUUAUUUUUUUUUGGGCAAAUAUGAAUCUUUAUUGAUCAAGAAAUAAGCGAGUACACAGGAAUCAAACAAUUCCUACUUACAUAAAUCCUAUCACUAUUACAGUAAUACAAACUCAAUCUUGCUGGAAACACACAUGAGAUGAUCCGAGCUCCAUACUUAGCUCCCAAUUGGCUUUGGUCAAUGGGACUCCUCUCCAACUCACAACAGCAUUCCUAACUGAUUCAAGGACCAUAGAUACAAUGGUCACGGCAGAGAAACAUUUUCGUUGAAAUAUGAUUUGGUUCCUUACGCACCAUAUCUAAUAAAUUGCAGUUGAAAACACCAACCUACUGAUUUGAUCAAUAAAUGAGUUUGAGUUGCAAUGAUUACAAUACCAUUUUAACUCAGCAUCCCAAGGUAACCUGCUCUUAACUAUGGCACACAAGUACUGUAGCUUCUCCCAUACUGUGUUGGAUAGAGUUCAAUCAAAGAAAAUAUGCCUCACGGACUCCUCAGCACUAUUACAUAGGACACACUGAUCGGACUCCAAAGCCACUCCCCAGGCUUUUAAACGGUCUCUGGUAGGUAAUCUUCCUCUACAAAGCAUCCAAGCAAUGAAAGAAUAACGUGGUACAGUACCUUUCCCCCAUACCAGCUUGUACUAUGGCACUGGAGCUCCACAAACUCUUUUAAGUUUUGACAUUGCUAACUGGACUGUAAAUUGGCCGGAAGCACUACCAUACCAGUAUACUUCAUCAGCAACAUGUGUAUUAGGCAAAAAUAAAUGCGGGGUCUCCCGUAUUAGUUUACAUAUCUCCCCCGUUCUUCUUCUCCCUUGGGGCCAUUUCCACAUACUCCCUUGAAUACAGCUAGAGACUCUUGAAGCUUUUGUAAGUCCAAAGUUGAGCAACAAAUUUUUAGAAAAAUAUUUAUAUGAAGGACACAUAGGGUGCCAGUAAUCGUACCAAAAAUAUGUAUCAGCACCAUUUCCAAUCAAUGUCUAACGAAAGGCUGAGCUUCUUCCCUUAACAACAAUAUUUUCCUCUAUACCCAAGAACUAUUAACAGGAAUCUUUGCUGCCCAAAACGAACACCCUUUCAAGUUGUUGGUAUGAACCCAUUUAACCCAAAGGGUAUCCUUUUUACAGCAAAUAUGCCAUAUUUGCUUCAUGAUUAGACAUUUUUCCAAAGUUCUAAAUCAAACAGCCCCAACCCUCCCUUCUUCCUAGGCAUACAUAUAUCAGUCCACUUAACUUUUGCACAAUAAUGAGUUCUAAUCUCACCAACCCAUAAAAAGGAAGUUAGCAUACUACAAAUCUUCUUGAUGACAGAUUUGGGCAGAAUAAAAGCACUAGACCAAAAAACCUGAAUCCCACUUAAUAUAGAUUUUAUCAAUUGUAAUCUGCCUCCAUAUGAAAUUUUUUACUGGCCCAACUAUGAAUUCUUUGUUCUGUCUUAUUGAAAAUAGGUCGACUAUCCAUGAAUCUCAGUCUAGAUAUCAAUGGCAAGCCCAAAUACCUAACAGGGAGUGAGCCUAAAGGCAUCUGCAGUAGGUUGCAAAUUUAGAUCUGCAUAUCCUCAUUCACACCAGCCAUAUAUAUAUGACACUUGUGUAGAUUUGGCUUGAGGCCGGACAUUUCCCCAAAUUCAUGCAAUGUUUUCUGAAUCAACUGAAAUGAUCUCCUUGUAGCAGCAGUAAGUAUAAAAAGGUCAUCAGCAAAAGAUAAAUGGGAUAUUUAAGUUCUUGACACUUGGGUGAUAGUCGAAUCCAUUCUUAUCAAUGUUCCAAUUCAGCAAUUUUGUGAAUAUCUCCAUAGCAAUUAGAAACAGAUAUGGGGAUUUAGGAUCCCCCUGUCUCACUCCCCUUUCGUUUCUGAAGUAUCCUACCAUUGAUCCAUUUAGGUUAAGCGAAAUGGAGACCAUGGUCACACAAUUAUCCACUAAAGCAACGAAUUCAGCAGGUAAGCCCAAUAGCUUCAUAGCAGCAAAUAGGAAAUCCCAAUUAAGGGGGUUGUAGGCUUUCAUAGUAUCAAUCUUUAUGACAGCUCUUGGUGAUCCAUCUUUCCUGUGAUAACCCCUCACCACCUCAUGCAUCAAGAGAACAUUAUCAAGAAUGUGUUUGCCUUUUACAAAGGCACUCUGUGUGUUACUGAUAAUUUCAGGAAUAACCUUCUUUAGCCUAUUGAUCAAGAUGACAGAAUAGCACUUAUAAAGUGUAUUGCAGCACGCUAUGGGCCUAAAGUUCUUCAUGUGCAUAGCAUUUUCUACUUUUGGCACCAACGUGAGGACAGUACUAUUAAGCGGAUAAUCCAUGAAACAAUUUGUAAAACAGUAUUGAAUAGCAUCGAUCACAUCAUUUCCAGCUACAUUCCAAUUCAAUUUGAAGAAUUCAGCCAGAUAUCCAUCAGGUCCAGGUGCUUUGCCAUCCUUCAAUUGAAAGUUUGAAACAUGACUCUUUUGAUUUCUUCAGGAGUAACUCUAGCAGUUAAGUAUACACAUUGCUCACUGCUAAGUACAGGAUUAAUAAAUUGCCGCAUUCUAUUUUCAUAGUCGGCAUCCCAGAGAUAAUCCAGAGAAAAAAGCUUUUGAUAAAAUCCAAUAGCCAACUCCUCCACUUCAGCAUAGUCUGUGAUCUUUACAUCCUCAUCAUCAGAUACUGCCAAUAUCCUGUUCCUCGCUAUAUAUGCUUUCAUCUUUCUAUGAAAAAGGAGGUGUUUUUUUCUCCCUUGUUUAACCACAGCACUCUGGGUUUUGCUUUGUAUAAGGUCUCCUCUGCUUGUAAUAGUUCAGCAUAUUCUUUGAUAAGAGUUCUUUCCAGUGUGAUUAGCUCAGAGUCAAAAGGCCUAGACUGCAUCAUAAGCUGAACCAACUGAUCCUUUUUUGCACAACUCUGCCACUAAUAUUGCUGAAAAACCUAUUAUUUAACUCCUUCAAACCGUUCUUUAGGUCCUUGAGUUUGUGGGAUAGAGAAAUCACAGGAUUACCAUGCGAAAUGUUAGUCUAUCUCUCUAAUAAAAUACUUUGAAAAUCCCUAUGUUUCAUCCAGAACUUCUGAAAUAUGUUGGGUCCAAAAGACACAUUCUCACAAAUUUCAACAGAAAUGGAGGAGUGAUCAGAAAUUCCAGGCCCCAAAAUUUCCACCUCUGUGACAGGAAAGUAAGAAAACCACGCCUCAUUUGUGAAAAUCCAAUCAAUUCUACUGUAUAUUUUGUCUUCCACUUCCCUCUUGUUACACCAAGUGAAAAGGCACCCCUUGCUAGGAUAUUCAAUUACAUCUAGUGCAUCCAGACAAUUAUUGAAAUCUUCCAUGGCCCCAAGGUCAAAGUCUGAGCUGCCAAUUCCUUCAGUGCUGGUCCUUAUUGCAUUAAAAUCCUCAAAGAUAAGCCAAGGGGAGUUGCCCCAGAUUUGUCUUAGAUCUUGAACCACAUAACCCUAACACUGACAACUUUAUGUCAGAAACAAGCAGUUUUGAUGGAUAUCAAAUUCCUUCUUCUUGGAUCUCUCAGGAACCAUAGAUUCCAAAACAAGCACUCCAUCCUUAUUAUCAAAAAUGUUUGGACAUUUUGGAGAAGGAAGCAAAGAAGUUCAUAUGAAGGAUCAAUUUUAAAUCCUUUUGGAACAAAUCCAGAAUUCCCCUUAUCUAUUCUUCCUACAAGAUCAAUAAAGUAAAUAGUGCGUGCGCGUGUGUUUUGUUGUUGUCAUUAUUUUUGCUGCUCAUAAAAGAAAAGGAAACUCCAUGAUUAACAUUAUUAACAUCCAAGAUCUUACAAAGAAGAAUGCGUGGAGAAAAUAAAAAAGCUACAUCUUAGCUCUUCCCGGCCAAAACGUCAUGGGAACAAAGAAAUUUUAGUCCAGUUAUGCAAACCUAACCCAGUUCUGAUGAAUCAUGAAAUAGAUGAACGCUCGUUAGAGCUAUCACCUGAACAUCACACCUGCUGCUGAUUUCAUGGCAGAAUUCCUUUUAAUGACCUCAGUAAAUUUGCGGAAAACUCACGGGGAGGGUCUGAUUUGCAUCAAGAAAGAAUUAAGGACUAAAGAUGAAAGAAACGGACGAGAAGAGGAAGGAAUAUAGUGAUAAAAGACACGAAAUGCAACUGGCAAAGAAGCUUAAGGGGCAAAGGGGAGAUCCAGUUAAAGGUUGAUGGAAACAGGUGGUCUUCUCAACAAGUAAAAAAACAAUGCCUUACCCUCAUUAUAAAACAAUUUUACAAGUUAUAUUCCUUGAUCUUAAUGGGUCCUAUUUGAAUUCCUCAACUGUUUGCCAAAUUUUUUACUAACGUACGUACCCCAUAUCUCCACUAUAUCACAACAAUAUUACAGUGUACUAGAAGAUCUCAGGCCAAUCUAAAUGUUCAACAUUUCCUUUACUAACAUGCCAAGCUCCCUCAGCAAUCUCGUGAAACAACUGUUCCCAACCCCAGCUUGAAAACCCCAAGAAAAACCAGUGACCACGAACGGAUUUAUUCCCCAACUUCAGUUCAUCCAUUAGUCGAAGUGUUGCCCAUUGAUCAAGAAAAUACACAUCCGGUAGCACUUCUGGGUGCUUAUCAUCCACAAAUUUCUGUGCUAAAGCAACAAGGGGCAUUCCUUGUUUCAUAACAGGACCACCAUAAGAAAGAGGAGCACCCUUUAGCUUUUGUAGACCUUCUUCAAGUUCUUCAAGUGACUCCCAAUUGAUAUGUUUGUUAACAAUCAAACCUUCAAAUCCUGUGGCUUGAUUCACUUUCACGAUAAGAAUUUUGGAUUCAUCAAAGGGCUGUACAUUCAGGAGCUUGUCUGUUGCAGUUAAAAUGCAUCCAGGAACUACUAAAGGGGUUGAUUCAUGUGAGCUGCUCCAAGAUUGAACUCUGAAUUGAGUAGCUGCAACUUCUCUCUUCUGGUCCUCCAGGAAAACUUCAUAGUAUGUGCUCUGGGACAGAGGAGCAGUUAUAGAAAAACCUCCACCUUCUUUGAUCUCACCCCAUGAAAUAUCUAAAAAAAGAAAAAAGGUUGAAUGCUACAAGGACAAAUUACAAAACAAAUACCCAUAAUUAAGCAUCAUGAUUUAGAUACUUAAUUUCAGUUAAUUACUAGCUUUUUGGGCUCCAAUAGCUGGCAUCACCUAACAAUUAGAGUUCUCAUUCGUCGUUAUCAAACUACUAAAUUGGUGUCUAGCCCCAAGACUACAAAUCCAGCCAAACCACCCAAAUCAAGGAGUAUACAAAUGGAUCCACAAGCUCUUCCAGAAAUUCAUGGCCUUACUCAAUCAACACACAAAGAAUCCACUCCCUAGGUUUGUUACGAACACCAUCCAAAUCUUUGAUUUGGCUAAUAGCACUAAAACUAUUCUGAAAUUCCAUGUGUUCAUAUGUGAUUCAAGUGAAUAUACAUGUAUCCAAAUAUUUACUGCUCAUGUGUCCUUCCAUGGCUUGACCAUUUUUGACUGUAUGGGCAUGUUUACAUGUGUUCUGAUCCGUCCAUCAGUUUGGUUUUCACAUGUUCGAGUAUGUGCUGUGAAAGAGAAUGUAGCAGGAGCAAGCAGGAAGAAGGGUAGACAACUUGCAUAGAAUUUAGGUCUGUCAUGCAUGCAAUUUGUCCUGCUCAUUCUUAUCUGUGGAGAUCUCAAGGAAAAUGAAGAUGGUUAAGAGAUAACGAGGAAGAAGAAGGUAAGAUGAAGGAUGUGGUUCCUAAGAUUUAGCAUGACUACAAGCGAAACCCUAAUAAAAGUGUGUCCAUGCCAUAGGUGUGUGGUAGACCUGAGCAUGGGAUGCAUAUGAUCUGUGUUCACUGACAUCUCACUCUCGUAUUAUCUUCUUAUGCUUCCAAUUUUUCUCCAAAGAUACUAAGAACUCUUUUGCCAUUGUAUUAGUUCCAGCAAAGGGAUUAAAAUGAAGUAUAACCAAAGAUUGAAUUGAAUGUGGUUUGGUGAAAUCCUAAGGGGCUUGGUUUCGCCAAACCCUGAAGGGAGCACAUACACAGAACCCAGUGUAAGCAUAAUUAGAAAAACACACCAAACCUAAAACUUGGCCCUUGUCCGCUGCCCCAGCCUUUUUUUUUUUUAAUCUUCAAAAGCACCACUUUUCAUUCAAAGAGUAAUUACUCUUGUUUGAUAUCUUCAUAGAUUCUUCCCAGAAAACCAACUUAUUUUUCAUUUUGGUUGUCUCCCAUUUGAGUUCAGCUCAUUAUUUGUAGUUGCAGACACUAUGCUAUGCUUGAACUAAAGGAAAAAUUGUCCAGGACAGGACCUUUGGUUACCAGCUCUAUAGUUUUAUAUUAAUCCUACUAGUGGAUCCAUAUAGAGUUCUUUUCAGUAGGGAAGGGGACCGAGAGCGGAACAAUUCCAGUAACCUUUUACAUUCUCCCCUGCUGUGCUACCUUCCCACAUAGAACAGAUCUAUUUUUUUUGUUGUCCCAGUUUUACAUCCAUCUUGACAAUUGACGCGGAAUGUUCAGGUCUUUUGAUCAUAAAUGAAAUCUAACUACAAGCCCAUUGGGUGUUUCUUGUUCAAUUUGAUUACCUAGAGCGUUCUUGGAGGAGUAACUAGCAUGGUUAGGAUGCUUUUAGUCAAAUAAUUAGAACAGUGUUGGUCUUACAAUUAAGUGGCCAAUCUAAUCUAACCAAGCAAAUAACUUACAGUAAAUAAAUAUCAACCAGUGCAAAAUACAACGUACACCUCACUAUAAAUGACAUCAGUCACAGCACAGGAGGAUACUGCAGAAUGUUUGCCUAGUUAUUUGGUGAAAAACCAUCUCUUGCAUGAUUUCCAGAAAAGAUCGUGACUGAAAGAGAGCAGAUUUUCUUCCUUUUCGAAUUUCCAGAUGAGGUAAAAUAGGCGAAUGAGAAGUGGAAAAGUAGGCAAAAAGUUCUAAAUGACUUCAGAAUUGUCUGGCUGAUUGAAUCCCUAGGCAAUCCUCCUCGCUUUGUGCACCGGGAAGGAGCCCCAAACUGAAAUUCUCUCAAAUCCCUUCAUAUAUGUCCGGGUGCUCAGCACCUUCUUGUAAUAUUAUUAGCAGUUAAAAGGCUAAAGCUAAAUGAUGUAGAAUAAAGUCAAUCAGAUAUUAAGGAUAAGAAUACAAGCACAGGGAAGGUAUUAGAUUAGGACCAUAAGGGUUAGGAUGAUAUUUGAACUAAAUUAGACUUCAUUUUGUAGCUGGAUUUCUUCAAAUAUGCAGCUUUAGCUUGUAUUCUAACACCAUUUUGAUAUGUACGAAAUAUCAUCGUUUAGCUUGAUUUCUUCAAGUGGAACUAAUAAGAAUGUUUUCUACAUUAGCUGGUUUCCCCCAAUAACCAUAACUUUGAUCAUGAAUCAAAGUAACUUUAUCUCGGGCUUCUGCCAGUGUCUGUUUGUAUCAAAGCCAAUGCCAACCAGUGAUGUGGCAGUUAGUAAUGGAAGAAGUCAAGAGACAGCAAGACUGGCUAUAGCAAGCUUCAUCAACGCAUGAAAUAGGAAAAUUUCGAAGUUGGUUACAGGAUUCAAGAUGGAAUUUGAAAUUCUGCAAUCAAACCGGAAGUAGGGAAAACUUUUGCUGAUGACACAGAUAUGGAUAAUUUGGGAAACAAAAACGUAAUAUUGGAACUCAUUUAUGGCGUUUACAUGGAUGACUAUUAUAUUCAUCUCAGUUCUCAACAAACAGUUUUGUAAAGAUUAUGUUCAUCUUAAUUCUCGGAUUUAGAAGAUUUUAUUCACUUCAGUUCUCUACCGACAUUUUAGAACUCAAGAAUUUAGGAAAUUUUAAAAACUACCAAGCCACUUGAUGGUCUUGCAAUCCAAAGUUCUUGGCCUGACCCAGUAACUUUUGGACCCAAGUUAUUAGUAGCUCAUUGCCCUUGAGCAUACAAACUGUUCCCUUUCCAUGCAAUUUCCAAAUGUGGGUCGGGGUCUCACUUUCACCCACCUUAGGGGCUUUGCAUCCUCAUGUCCAAUCAUAAUCUGAACAAUCCAGAGACCACAUGAUGCCAAUUGUAACACCCAGGGUUCUUGGGCUAGCCCAAUAAUUUUUGGACCAAAACCACAAGUCCAAAAUGGUUAAUCCAAGUUAUUAGUAGCCCAUGGACCUUAAGCUUAUAAACCAACCUUUUUCCAUACGAUUUUCCCAUGUUGGGCAGUGUCUCACAAUUCUCUUCUCACUUGCAUUUAUGUUGCUUCUAAUUUAAUUCUUGGCUGCUUCCACUUAUGGUACCCCUCCCAGAUAAACGAUUGUCUAAGAUUAAUAAUCCUUCUAAAUACUCAAUUAUAUAGAAUUACUCCCUAAAUGGCUUGGCUGCAAAACCUCUUGAUUGGGAAAUGCUAAAACACAUUUCCUCAAACCCAAGGAGAUCUGCAUUAGAUUAGGAAUUUAGCAUGACAGGUUGAAGAAAGUAAUAGACUAAUAUAAGGUAUUAAUUAGAUUAGGAUCCUAGUUUAUAGCUGCAUUUCCAUAGAUAUUCAGGUGUAACUUGUAUCACUUAUACAGUUUUCCUUGUGCUAAAAUUAACCCCAAAUCAGGUAUAUUAGUGGUCCUCCCUUGAAGCUAUAACUUUACUAAAGGCAGGGGCAUUGAAGUGCCCAAAGGCUACUAGAUUGUGAAUAUUCUCUUAUUCUCAGAGCGUCACAAAACCGCUGCCGUAUCUGUGCUGUUCAAAAACUUUAGAAAAGAUUGUACCACUGAACCUGAAGAAAAUGCCCCCCCGUGAAAUUUUCAUAAAGCCAUUAUUUGAAGCAAAAGAUGUUUCAAUGAAGGAAGAUAUCUAGAGGUUUGUCCUACUGUGACAAGGACAGUCCAUUUAUCUUCCAGAUUGUAUUCUCAUGUAACAAACAGAUAAAAGGGCAUUUUAAUAGUCCAGGAAUAUUAGAGGAAAAAUCUGUAGCCCUUACACAUUAAAAAGAUAGCAGCCAUCGAAAUAUGAGAUUGUCAGAUUGCUUCAUCUAUUUGUGAGAUGAAGCAAUAGUUUCAGUACCAAAAAUGACACUGAUGAAAGCAUCAUUAAUUGUUUUUUUGACUAUCAAGCACUAGAAGUUAAAAAACAUAAUAGAAAAGGAAAAGAUAAGCAACAAAAGUAUGUAGCUUAUUCACGUAUUGACGAAUCAGCAUACAUCAUUGAGUGUACUUAACAAAACUAGCAUAAGAGAACGUGCUCUGCAUGUUGCCUGGUAUCUUGCUUAGGGUUAAGUUUAUAAUUUAAUAGUUAUUAAUUUGCAAGACUAUUUUAUAUGUACAAAUUCUCAGGAAAUGCAAAAAGAGAUACUUGAAUUAUAAAUUCUAUUUGAUAACAAAAAAGGCAAAAAUAAAUGAAGUGUGAUUAGCUAAUCUGGUUUGUUUUCUCAACUAACUAUAUUUUUUAAAGAAAACAUAUAUGCAGGUAUUGUGCAUGAAUUGAGUUAUAGAAAAAUUUCAGUAAACCAAAAGAAAGUUAUGGUUAUGCUAUAAAUGUUAUGUACGUAUUAAGUUGGAUCUUGUCUCUCCUUGAUUUUAUAUUAUUAAAAAUGAUAAAGAGUAUUAGCAGAAAUAAUUUUGUAAGAUCGAGAUUUUAUUAUGAUUUAACAAUCUAUCAAAUAAGUGUACGGGUAAAGAAUUAAUAUUCUCAUGUUAGUCUACUCGUUUAAUUCUUAUUUUAGAAUUUAGGCUACAGUUUGUUUUGAGGGACAAUGUUAUUCAUUUUGUAACCUAUAUCUGUCAAAUGUAAUUAUAUUUUUAAUUAGAUAUUUGUUUCAUAAUCCUACUAUGCAUGUUAAAACCAAACAAUCAAAAGAACUAAACUUCAAUUUUGUUAAAAGUCAUACAUUAAAGAUUUAGAUGUCAAGCUAUAAGUCAUACCAAAUUAUAAGUUAGGAUAUUAAAAGAUAGUGUCUUCAUAUACCAUUCUUUCCUAGAGAUUAAAAGAUAUUUCUACUUGAAAUAUUCUUUCUUAUAGCAUUUUUUUUUUUGGGGGGGGUUCUUUGUUGCUUAAAAAGUACAGCUAGAUAUUUUACCCAAAUUUAAUCUAGGCUCAACAUCCUUACCAACUUCAAUCUACUAAAUACCUAUUUCGUACUUUUAUUUGAUGCAUUUAUUGCUGAUAGGUUUCACUACCAUAUUUAAUUCCCAAAGCCUAAAGAAUAUUCAUUCAUUUAAGAAUCUUUAAAAAACUCAGUAUCGAUUAUUAAGGAAUUAAGAGUUUCUUAUUUUGAACCUGAGUGGUCUUUUUUCUUUUAAAUACUUUUUUCGAAUUAUUCUUUUGUCAUGACUGUACUAUUACUAAAUAAUUGCUAUUGAUUUACAUUAAUAGCUAGUGGCCUGUGUCAUGGAUCAUAGAAAUAACUUUUUUCAAACUUAUAAUUUGAUAAAGUAUUUGAUCAAUGAUGGACAAGUGCAUAUGAAUGGCUUAGCUUGUUCUUAAGGAAACUUUUUAAAUAUUAUUGUUUAAUUUCUAAAGCUUGUAGUAAGAAAUUACUUUCGUAGUUGUUUUGUUUUCAAAAGUCAUUACAUUUGAAAUUUAUUCCACAUCAAUUUUUUGUAUAAAAAUGUUUUAAUAAAAUUAUAUUUCUGAAAUAUAUCUCAAAGUAUUUUUUUGGAGCAAAUCUAUUGCAAAGUUGGUAUUACCUUGCGGGAAAAGCCCGAAGAAAUCAUUCCAAAUAUGCGCUCCCUUUGUGUAUUUCAAGGGAGUUAAACUUAUUUCGUGAAAGAUUAGAUUUCUUUCCAAUUCAUCUUAUAGAAAUUCAAAGGAAUCUAGCUGUUUACAAUAAAUUGAUUUUCUGUCACAAUUGCAUAUUUCCUUUCUAAACCAAAUUCUAUUGGAGUGAGCUUACUUUAAUAGAAUUUUAUUCCUAACUAAAACAUCAAAGUCGAUAUUACAAGAUAUCACAUCGUAAUUAAUCGCAAUUAAGAGUAUAUGGCAAGGGAAUUGUUGGAAAAAAAAAAAAACCUAAAUCACUAAAUUACCAAAUCAUAUUGGUGAUUAGUUCAAUCUGUCUUUUUUUGUCAAUUUUUUUUAUUUUUUCUCUUUUUCUUUGUUGCUCCACAAUUGGCACCUAUUUCUUCCAUGUAAAACUAAAUUACAUAAAUUUUGUUUUCCAAUUCAUGUUUAGUUUCUAAAUUACACAGCUAAAGUUUUUUUUUUUCUUGUUCUUCACUAAUUCUGCAAUCUAAUUUUAAGACAAGAUGAAAAUUUACACCAGCAAGUUCAAUUUCCUCGAUGAAAAUUUAAAGUCUGAUAUUAUAUGAAUAAGCGCAAAAAAAAAAAAUAGAAAAGGACCUUGGGAAUAUAAUGUAGUCAUUAAUGGGUCACUUAUUCUGUUAAUUUUAAUAUAGAAUUAGGUAUACGUCAGCAAUGUGCACCUUUGGAAAUCAGUAAUAUCACGGAAAAGAAAAACAAAAUAUGAUUCUGAGGGGCUUGAACUAAAUUCAGCCAUGUCUACGUUCUUUGUAUAACUAUCUUAUGCCCUCGAAUAUGCAUCCACUAAUAUAGUGAUAUGCACCUUGUUUAAUGUACGGUAUGUAAUGAGCCAUUGAAUUUAUAAAAGUUUCUAAUCAACUUGGCUGAAAUUAAUAUAAGUACAAGAAAACUGACAUACAAGAAGUUAGUCAAGAUUUUUAAGAUUAUGGCAUAACUAAUGCCCCGUCAUCAAAUUUUAACGGAAAAUUUUUUCAAAUAAAUUAAACUAUAACCUAUUACCUUUCCAAAUCAAUUUCUAUUCCAUAAGGGAUUCUACUUCUAAAACAAAACCUAAAGGUUGAUAGUACGUAAAAGGCCCCAGUAAUCCUUAGAAUUACAUUUAUGUUUGGAAAUAGAUUAAAAAUCAUUAAUAUUACUAAUAAGGACAUUUUAGGAAAGAAAAAUUAAAUCACCAAAUCAUAUUGGUGCUUUUAAUUUAGUAUAGACAUUAUUUAAUAGAGAGUUGAAAACCUAACAUGUCCAUAUCAACUCAAUGCAUUAUGCUUUACAAGACAGAAAUCCAAAAGGGAUGAACUAUCAAGGUUACUUUUAUGACUAGGAUGAUUCUAAUCAUAAUUCUUCCAGUAAACUGGAGAUUAAGACAUUACAUACUAAAUCCUAAAUGCGAUUCCUAUGUUUCCCUUAUCAUAUCCCGAUUUCCUGCUACAUCUAUUAAACAAAGCCUAAACUCGUAUCACAAAUACACCAAAGUUACAAAUUCUAUCCCCAAGCAACCCAACAAUGAAUACUUACUAAAAUGACUAAAUAAUUAAAAAGAAGAGAAACGAAACUACUUUUCUACCAGAAAAAAUCAUAUAAAAUAGCUCAAUUUAAACACAUUGCCAACAAGAUAAUAGCUUGUUUCCACUCCCUCCCCCACCAGGCCCCCAUCCACCCUUCCAGAAAAAUAUAAACAGGAAUUCUCCUCGCUACAAGUAGGGCAAACUUGUCUCAAGCCCGAACAGACAGAAAUUCAUUUGCUCCUUCAACUAUGGUUUUACCUGUCUAUCCAAGCUUGAAAGCUUUAUGCACCACACUUUCCAAUCUAGUAGAUGUAACAUUUUCUACUUUAAUCACCAUCACCUGGGUGAUAUUGUUAUUGUAACUCAACUAAAUAGUUACAGGAACUUAAUACCUGUAAUUUUGUGGAAGCAUCUAUAAUUCAAAACUUUGUAAUUUAAAAUGGCUCCCGAGUAGUUCUUAUAAGAACCUAUUGAUCACGAAACAAAUUUUCCUCAAGUACUUGCCAUUUUAGAGCAAUCCAGGUUUACUAGCAACUUGUCAUCGUAAUAAUUUUCUAGAAAAUUCUAUUGGAUGACUUCCACGACUUCCCAAAAUGAUUUUCCCACUUACUUUUAGUUUUUCAUAUUUUGAACAUCCCACAAAUCUAGAUAUUAGUAUGACUAGUACUACAAGUAAGAGGAGUACGUUCAUCAGAUUUCAAUGUGGUUAGUCACCAUGACUGUCUAAGGCUAGCACAAUUUACCUUUCUCAUUGACCAGAGUUCCAUGAUCAGACAAAAAUCUUAUGACAUCAUAAACUGCUACAUCUCCUUCGUAACUAAUCACAUCCUUCCUGCCAGCUGGAAAUAGUAACAGAGAUGGAUAAAUUUCCCUCUGCAAAUUAGGACCAGAAUACAGAAUUAGUAGCUCAUCUUUAAACAUUUAUAGGACAAAGAAGAAUUAUUUACAUUUGAUCAAUACAUAAAUUGUAAGAAAGAGGGACAGAAAUUUGGUCGAAUCUUUUGACAGACAAGAAAGCAUCUUGUGCUCAGAAAUACCACAAGGUUUAGUUAUUUCCUUGAUACUUUAACACAGUAAUCUUGACAUCAAACUAAAAAAACUCAUGCCAAAGUACUCUUCUCCGUGAUCUAUGUUCAAAACGCUAUUUAUUGGCCAUUUCCCUGUCCUUAAUGAAGAAAUCUAUUUAAUUGCUAUAUAAUAUAACAAAAUAAUGGUUUGCUCCAGCCAAAAAAAAAAAAACUAACUGAUAUUGUUUGUCUCUAGCUUCCAUUUAGUUUUUACAAAAUAAUGGUUUGCUCCAGCCAAAAAAAAAUAACUAACUGAUAUUGUUUGUCUCUAGCUUCCAUUUAGUUUUUUACAAACUCUAAAUUGCUGGAGAAAUCAGUAGAAGAAUUAAGUAACACACAGAGGCCUGGACCCUAUAUAGUCAUUAACCUGACCUCAUUUCUUUUCACCAUUUCAGGAAGCUUUCAGAAUAAAGAUAGUACUACAGUAAUAAAACUGCAAAAUCUAGUAACGUACUAAAGGAGGUAGAGACAUGAUAGUGGUCAAUUUAUUGUACAUGAAGAAUCAACCAUAAGUAUUCAAAAUUCACACCUGAACCACAGAUUUCAAAAUCCAGCUGCAGUCAUUCAGCGUGCAAUCCAUCAAAUAAAUGAGUGGCACCUUUGUGGAACUCCUAAUGUUAUCUGCACAUAUCUGACCACAUAUUAAUGGUAGAAACAAAACAGAAUCAUUUUUAUUUGAAAAGACAUGGAGUUUGUUUGGAUAAGAGUUUAUUUGCAUGAUUUAUUUGAGAUAAUUACUGUAGCACUUUUUGUGAUGUGAUGUAUGUGAGAUAAAAAGGUGGCUGGGAAGAUAAAAAUGUGGUUGAAAUUUGUGAAGUAAAUUUUUUUAUUUGAAAUCAAGCCAAUCCAAACAAACCCCAUGGUCAUUUUCUGCAAUGUUAAAGCAACCAAGAGAAGAGAAAACAAAAGGAGAGACACACAGAGAAAAGGAAAACGCAUCCUUCUUGCUAAUAAUCUGCGAUGUGCAUGCAUCUGUGAUGUUGAAGAUAAGAGACAGAUGAAGAAGUUUAUUGACCAUGAUAAAAAAUUUAAAAAAAAAAAUUUGCAGACCAUGCUAGAGUCCUAAGAACUAUAUAGCCCAGCAUAUGCCAUCAUUCACUCCAAAAACUGGCAUCCAACUGAUUUGCAUGAAAUAUUAUCCUCUCACUUGACUUGACAAAGCACAAGAAAAUUAAAAAUUAAAAGGAAAAAAAAAAGCAAAUUUGUGACAAAAACAAAAUGUUGGAACGAGGUGCUCAAUUAACAUUAUCUCCCCUGCAUAACAACAACAUCUAUUACUUCUCUUUACAUCAAAUGUUGUAGUUUCCUUACUGCUACUAAUGUGUAGAAUCAUCCAAUGUUUUGCAUGAAUUAAAUUAUGGUUGUUGGAUGAGUAAUAUUUUACAAAAACAUGUGUUACACAAAUAUGUAAACAUGUAAUGUAACACAUGCAAGGCACAUUAGUUCAACAUGCUACCAAAUUGAGCAGCAUCCAGGUAUAAAAAUGCUACAUAAAGAGUGUGCUACAUCUCAUGUAACAAAAUUAACAAACUAUCAAGUCAGCAAGAGCUGUAUAACCUUCAUGUAUAAGGUAGUGCAAAGCAUCAUUCCAUGUCAUCGAUAAUGUAAAGGACAAAUUUAUUGUCCUCCCAACUGUUCUUAAUAAUUUCUCAGAAAAUUUGUUGAGUUUCCACACAUUUGACCGCAAGCUAUAAGAUCACAUUUGCUCACUUUUUUCAAUUUCAACAUCACCCGUUUUCAGACUGUAUGUAAUCAUAAAGCAAGAACCAUAGUUUUGCACAAAAUUUCAUGUGGAAUUAUCCAGAUCUUAUAGAAUUCCUUCACUAUAUUUCGCAUAGCCGUUUCUCAUGAACUCGAGCUUGAGCAAAGCAUUUGCACCCCUAGUUGGGAGUGUGAAAUUGAAACAGUAAGAAAAUAACGGGUGGGGCACCAGCCGACCCAACCCCAAUUCAAUUGAAUUAAAAAGAAAAAAAGAAAGAAGUAAAGUCAAAUAUUUUGACAUAGCAAAGUCAUACAAAAUCAAAGAGGAAUAAAUCUGUUAAGGUUUAUGGUACAAAAAUUAGCCUCAAGAAUAAACUUCCAGUCAUAUAAACAGCAUGAAAAAUUCGAUCCCUUUAACAAUCAAGCAACAUACAUGAGGUUACAUAAGCUUAAACAACCCAAAAAUAGAUAACGUAGUUAAGUUUAACUAGCUUUUUCUUCUCCAAGCGACUCACAUUACAUUUUCAUUCUCUUGCAUCAAAAGCAUGAUUAGCAUUAUCAGGAAAGAGAAUACAUUAGAGAUCAUACUUGCAGUAUCAUUCCCAUAUAACUUGCUAAUGCAUCAUAUAGGUAGCAUAAAUUAACCACACUGUAACUUGCUAAUACAUCAUUCACAUAUAACUUGCUAAUACAUCAAGGAUUUCAUUCAAAUAUGGAACUGCUCAAAAAAGCUGUUAACACUACAACAUGCUCCAAAGUAGCAGAAACUACCUCGAUAAGCAUUCAGGGUAAAAGCAAAAGUACUUAUAGGCAUAUAUGUCUGAGUAACAAAAAAGACCAUUGACUCCAAGUAAUUGGACUUGUUACCUUUUGUCAAUAAAGAAUUCUUGCUACUUGAUCUAUCAUAACCUUGAAUUGCUCUAAAUACUUCACGAACAACCAUUUCCAUCCGCUGGCAAAAUCCACACCAGCUGUUGCUUAAUAGAACCAACGCAUCUUUGUCCCGAGGAUUACCAUCGUUCACAGAAUCAGACUGAUUACCAAGGACCAGCUCAGAAAAUGUAUGGGCUGUAACUCGAGGAAUAGAUUCAGUCUCAUGAAAAUCUAGAUUGACAAAUGGAGGAACUGGAGCCUCCCUAGGGCUCUGAAGAACAGUUUCAGAUUGUCGAUAUGGAGAAAGACUUUGAUUUAGAAACCCAUCAAGAAAAUCAGAUAAUGAGGAAUAACUCAAAGUAGCCGUCUCAGGUAAGAUAAAAUGUUUCUGCAUAAUGGGAUCGAUUAUCACCACUGAUGGAAUCUUUAAGCUAGAAGCAGUGAGUGCUCCAAGCAAUCUAGAGUGACCAUCACAAAAGAAAAAUGAACCACUAAAUCCUUUGUGUCGUGUCUGCUCAUGCACUCCUGCAAGUCUUUCCUCCUCGGGCGUCCUCUCUUGACCAUCACCAACUCCUUUAGUUGUAUGAAUACGAGUGUAUUCAGCAGAUGAUUCCUCAUUCUUCCCAAUGGGAUCACUCUGAUGACCUAGAUAAGAAGAUGUGGCAUCAGUCAUUCUGGAUUCUUCAUCAGUCACUGGUUUGAAACUAACAUGGUUUUGGAGCUUAGUGUCCCUGUCCAGACCCAAAGUAUCUUCAAUAUCAUCUUUUUGAGAAAACUCCAAAUUAGGCUGAAAUUCUGGCUGGACAGGUAGAGGUUCAGCAUCUUUAAUUUCAAAAUCUUCAGACAAAAGUUGAAAUCCUGCAUCUUUUGCAAGGGAGCUUAACUUUAAUUCUUUCUUUUUCUGGAGCAAAUUUUCCAGGAUCUCAUGCAAGGAACUACCCUGUAAAUCUGAAAUAAAUUUUUCUAGCGAAAUUUGCGUCUGAUCAUUCAUAAGCACUACAGACAUCUUAUCCUUCACAUUUAACUUCUGAAAUGCUGGAAAGCGCUCUAGUUUAGGGACUACUGACGUACCAUGUCCUCGAGCAGUUUCAUCAGAUGACUUUGUCAAUUUAAUAGUGCUUCCUCCAGGCAUAUGCUUUGAGAUGUUAUGGUGCAUUGCUAAUUGUCUGAAAGCAUCAAGAGCUUCCUUGCUGUCUUUCCUGAUAGAUAAGGAAUCAGAUGAUCUGUCAAUGAAAAGAAGUAUUGACGCCCUAUUCGCAGGUAAAGUGGAUGCAUCAUACAUGUCAUCUGUCAACUGCACAAAAGAACAAAGACAUUUGAUCACCAGAAUAGCAGGAAAAAGCAAGCAAUUGAAAGUAUUGUAAAUAUAUAGUACUUAAUUGCAGGAUUAGAUAGAAGACAGAUUUAGAUAGCAUCUAGAUAGCUUGAUUUAAGGAUGUACAUUGAUUAGCUAAAUUUCAGAAUCUAGAUUAUUCUACACACGUAUAUGUACGGAUCUUUUGUACUCUUGAUAAGAGUAAGAUAAAACAAGAUAUGCUCCUCUCAGUGUUUCUCUGUUAUAUUUUUCUUUUUGUGGCAUGACCCUGAGGAAUCCAAGUCAUCUCCUCCUAUUGUUACAAAUGCCCUUGUGAGACAAAAAAACUCAAUGAGGCUGGUCAAGGAAACAGCAAGAGCGACGGUAGUUGAGAUGGACAUGGUUUUCAAGGUGGUGGGAGUGUUGAUCAUAGACAAUAUGACCUAAACCAAUACAUCUAAAAGUAUUUUCUAUCACUCUUUGCCCUUAUAACCAUUCUGUAUCUAAACUGUUUUUAUCUUAUUGGUUGUUUGUGCUGAUAACAUUGCAGGUAAUGAUAGUAAUAGAGAGGCAUUAUAAAGGCCUUGGAUAUGUUAAAGUAUUUCUAAAGCAUUGAGGUUACAAGGUGUACAAAGGUACCUUGUUAUCUCAAAGAAAGUCUAUUCUUGACCUUUUGAUUGUGGCAGGGAACUUGGGUGCUAAAUCUUGUAGUGCACCAAUAAUUACCAACGUGUAACUUACGUGAGAAAACACUUUCAAAUCCUAAGAUAUGGCAGACAAUAGUUGGGAAACUAAACCAUCUUAGACUGACUCAUCCUAACAUUGCAUAUCCUAUUGUCAUCGUGUACCAGUUCAUCUUCAAAAACAACUCAAUGGGAAGCUUUAGAGCAAAUUUAUUGUCAUCACAAGGAGCUCCAGGACAUGAUAGACUAUACGGUAAUCAUGAUUACUCUCGUUUUGAGUCUCUUAGCUACAAAUGGGGCACAUUCUAAGAUUGAUUGGAGAUCCACCAACGGGUGUUAUGUUUUUGUUGGGAGUAAUUCAGUUUAAAGGAAAGUAAGACCUAAAACCAGUGCAGAAUCAGAAUAUAGAGCAGUAGCAAAUCCACUUGUGAGCUUAUGUAAAUAUCGACUCUCAAGCAAUAUUAGUUUCACUGCCUAAGAAAUUAUGGUGUGAUAAUCAAGCUGCUCUUCCCAUUGUCAAAAUGAUUUUUUCAUUGAAGAGCCAAUCACAAUGAAGUUGAGUGCCUUUCUUUUGGUAAAAAGAUUAGGAAAAUCUUGAGCUUUGUUGGCAUGCUUGUUUUUCAGCCUAUUUUUAUGUAACUUUUAUUAUUGCCAUUUUAUUGGAAAGAGUGUAUGUGAGAUAAAUAAGGUGGUUAGAGAACAUCAAAAGGUUUAAGAAUAGAGUGUUUUGUAGACAAACCAUCAAAACAAAGCCAUAAUUUCAACUAGUCACGCGAAAACUGGAGAGCAGUUAGCUGACUUUUUAGCUGAAGCAUUGAGUGGUUCAAGGAUUGGUUAUAUCUGUAACAAGAUGGGCAUGAUUAACAUCUAUGCUCCGAGUGUUUUGUAGAACCUAGAUAGCUUAAUUUAAGGAUGUGAUUUAUUCUAGAUUUGUAACUUCUGAACCCUUGCUAAAGAAGUGAGCAGCAAAAGAUUUUAUUCUUUCCAGUUACAAAAGCCUAAAAAAGCAUAACCAACCAGAAUUGCAUUGUUUUCCAAGGACUGAUGAAAUUGAGCUUCAUUACUUGUCAAAACCUUGCCAAAAAGAUUGAUCUAAAAGUAAUCAACAUUCUGACAUUCAAAGUGUUAUGUUACAACCCAAGCAUGAGUUUAAAAAAAUGGCAAGAGUAAGAAGAAAAAGAAUGAGGCAUCUUAGGAGCAUCAUAGGACUGUUUUUAGGACUGAAAAUUCAAAAAUGGAGGAUUAAAGGAAUUCAACUGAGUAAAAUAUAUGCAUCAACUAAGAAUUAUCAUUAUUUAAUAACAUGUAACAGGGACAAAAACAAUAAGUGUUUCUUCAUUUAGAUUUGCCAGGACUCUAAGGAUUAACAGGUUGUGACUUAAGCUAUCUUAAUUGGAAUACCAUGGCAGGGAGAAACUCACCCAGAGAGCUAAAUGGAGAAAGUAACAAUCAGAAAAUUAUGACAAGAUAAAGAAGGUUCAAUUAAUAUCUCCAUGGCUUCACAAAAUAUGGAACCCUCAAAGCUAAGUUGCUUGCAACACAAAGGAAACUUGUAAGCCCCUAAAUCAUUGCAUAAAUUAACUGUCCUUAUCCACAGUGGAAGAAAGAAGUGCAUAAACAUUUACUUGAGAAAUCCUUUAACUUUGAAUUUCAGGAGGAAAUAAAAUUCCUGGCUAAGUAAUUUAAAAAUACCUAAAUACUCUGCACAACUCAACACCAACACAAUCAGAGAGAAACAUACUUUCAGAUCUGUUACAAAUCAACAAGUACCUAAGCUUAUACAAAGCACAUCACUGCAUCAACAUCUUAUGGAUAAUUACACAGACAACCAAGUUAAGCCACAAAACUACAUUCAAACAGAAAAGAGGAUUCAAACUAAUAGCAUGUGAACGGCCUGCUUGUAAACCUAACUGAAUUUCGAAAAUCUGCCAUGCAAUCAAUCUUAGUUCUUCUUAUGUUUUUUAUAAAAUGCAUCACCAAAUAAAGGCUAUAUAAGCAGUAUAUAAGCAGGAGAGAUGAGAGCAUACAAAGAUAGCAGACCAAGUGGUGUGUCAUCACCCGUCAUUAUUAUAACAAACAUAUCAACUAAACUAAUUCAGAGAAGUUCCCCCCUCCCUUUCUGGAGAGGGAGGGAGAGAGAGAGAGAGCACUAAAAGAAGUCUCCUUCAACAUAAUCACAUGUCCAACACAAUGAGAAGAUUUCUUCGAUUUAAACAAUACAUAAAGCAAAGGAGGCCCAUGGUGCAAUGUGAUUAACGAAAUCCUCGUAACUAUUCUAAUAUUUUCUUUUCAUUGCAUGUCAGGGGAAAAAAGAUACUUUAAAGGGAGCCUACUUAAUUUACCUAAUACCCAUUCCAAACAAGUGAAUAAAUUAAAUGUGAAGACAUGAUUUGUAGGAAUUUAGAAACUCACAAAUGAGUAGUCUUGCAUGGAAAAUUAAGUAGAGACCCAUUCAAAACAAGUGUAUAAAUUAAAUGCUAAGACAUGAUUUGUAGGAAUUUAGAAACUCGCAAAUGAAUAGUCUUGCAUGGAAAAUUAAUUAGAGACCAAACUGAACAAGUAUAACAUUCUAAAGAAUUCAUGAUUAUUGAUUCUAUCAAACACCAAAAAAUAUAUCUCAGCAGGAUCCACAUUUGGGAAAAACAUUAAGUUUCAAACAACAGAAUCAAAUAAUAAUUUUCAAACCAUUAAGUGCCAUUUUAGAACCUAAAGCACAAACCAUGACAGAAAUCAGUAGGAUUACUAACUAAUAAUCAAGAAGGAUAACCAUAUGCUGCACUAAAAGCCAGAGCAAGCACCUAAUAUAUCUCGAUAUGAAUGUGUGAGCAGGACAGCCAAGACUACGUCCAAUUAUAGUCUGCAGAAAUUAUUUACACAUUAAACUAAAACAAAUUCGAUAGUCUGCUUAACUCAUAGUUUUCUUCUAUAUCUUCAAAGGCGAAUUUCAACGGGAUCAGUGAAACAUAACCAAAGCAAAGAAUUAUCACAUAUGAGAAGUAAAUAGAAAAAUACUAUGCCAGCUUGCCUCUGUGACAACAGACUUUUGAGUCUGUAAUAUGGCUUUGAGAUCAUCACCUUCCGUAAGAACCUUUGAACAAGUUGGGCAACCAGCAGAAUAUAGUUUCAUCAACCAGGGAGCAGCAGAAGCCUCAAUAUCUAGCUCAGAAAGCAAUGAUUUCUCAGAAACCAAUCCAAAUCCUAGCCUUUCAGGAGGAAGGAAGAAAUCCCUUGCAAACUUCAUUAACUUUGGCAAGAAAGAUUUAAGAAGCUGAAGUUCAUCAACUGUACAUGAAAAACCAUCUGUAUGCGUAAUCUUAUCUGCCUCUGACAAAUUGCCAUCAUUCCCCAAGGUAAGCUUAGUAAGCCAAGGAAAUUGAUUAAGCCCCUUAUCAGCACUGCAACUCAUUUUGGGGCCUUGAAUGCCUGUUGAACCAACAUUACGAAUAACAAAUUGCAAUCAAUCCAUCAGUUAUUUUGGGUCAAAUCAUCAACAUGAUAAUGGUGAGCAAGGAAAUACCAUCCACCUUCGGCUGCUUCUCCUCCUGCACAAGUGUUCCGUUGGUCUCUUCACUCAAACCUUUUCGAAAAUUAAGAAAAAAUUAUCACCGGUGUCACUGUAAGGAAACGCUUGCUCGCAUUUUGCAACUUUGAAAGUAGAGAAGGUUCAUCAUCUACAAACAAGAAAAUGUGACUGACAAUCCAAGAAAUAUAAACCAUGCAAAAUUGACUUCCAGCAUGAUUAAUGAUGUAUGAUCAAGGCUAACCAGCUGUCUGAAAGUUUAUUGUUACACCACCACUAUGGUAGAUGUACAUUAAGCCUAUAGCAAUGGAGAAAAAGACAAUGCCUGCAUUGCCUACACCUCUUCUAUAAUACGGCUUAUGAUUAAAUUUCACAAAGGCCAUUAGAAUUGUGGCAUUUUAAAAUUAUGAAGACCAUUUUUCACUACACUAGAACCAAAAUCCAGAAUGAUUAAUGCUCCACCAAUGGGGCAAAGAUUGUAGUCAAUACACCUAACAAAAGAGUAGACAGAUAGACAAUAGUUAAUUAUAUUGAAGCCCACCAGAAAUUUAAUAUAAUCCAACAUUCGUUUUACUGAAGCAUGUCUAUCUGAAUCGUGCAAAUCUCAACCACUAGCUUAUUGAGCAAAAUUCUCAGACAAGUAAUGCAGACAUUUCCACUGUGCCUAAUAAUAUUUGAGUUACAUGAAGCAUCUCAAUUCCAUUUCUGAAAGUAACAAUUACUUCAAUUGCUCCCCUUGGAAAGACUAUCUUAUGCUCUCACCCAUUUUUCAUCCUUAAAACAGAGUGUCCAGAAAAAGUUCAUAAUUUUAUUGCUCAUGAUGACCACACAGGCAUGCAAGGGGACAAUCACCUUUCACAAAAGCGCACCAGCUAAUGGAGGAAAAGCAAUCAUUAAAUGUUCUUUUGCAAGCAGUAGUGCGCUACUAAGCAUGCUAAAACAGAAGCGAUAACUGUUGGAAGGAUAACUUCUGCCGAAUGACAAAAAUAUUAGUAAUACUAGUUGUCAUAGAGAGAUAAAUGUUCCACUCGCUCCAUAAGAAGAUUGGAAUGCAAGGGCUAAUUAAGAUUGAAGUUCAAGACUUCAAAAUAUUCAAGGGAAGUGCCUCAAUCAUUUUUGCAAAUCUUUAUCCUUGGUCAUCAAUUAUUUAUUUGGAAGCUUUAAGAGGAAACCAUUUUCUUCUACACAAGGCAAGGGCUAAAACAUGCGACAUUGCAGAAGCACAUAAGCAAGUAAAUCAUAGGAAAUGAGACUUGAAGUCGUGCUUUACCCCUAGCAAGCAGCCCGGGAGUCCAUCCGCAAAAAUCCAGAAGAAGCAAAGUGUUGUCAGUUGAAUCAAGGAAAUUCCUCAACUCGUGUGAUGUGCGUAAGAGUCUUAAGGGAAGGUGUUCAGGCAAGAGAGACAUGACAUGAUGAACAGAAGAUAGGAUGUUUUGCACUCGAAGUGUUCCGCGGUACUUGUAAGACAAGGAAUGGUGGAAGUAGAUAAUAGUUACUGCAUCGCCAGACUCGGAGACGCCAAGUGCAUUUGCCAGCAUUCUCUCAGUAUUUCUGUACAAUAACAUCAGCUUUAGGGAACCGAAUCUCUCUUGCUGAGUUGUGACAGCAUUUGCUAACUGCUUCUCAAGGGACCGCGACUCUCCACACCCUUUUUUUUAAUGUUGGGGGUUUUGUUUGUGGUGGGGGGGGGGGCGGCGCCAGAAGGGAGGAAAAAGUUACCUCAUCAGACAAUUAAUAAUUAAUUAAGAAACAUGAAUAUGUACUUUUUUUUUUCUCUUUUAAUCUCAAAGAUUAUUGCCAAUCCAUCAUCAUCAUCCUGAGAUCAGUAUAACAAGAGAACAAAACAAAACGAUAGUGACUUUGCUCUUUGAUAGACAACUCCUCCUCUCUGGCUUUCAUAGGAGAAAAUGUUCUCAUUUUCAAUCAUCUGAUCUGAUCAAAUGUGUGUGUGUGUGUGUGUGAGAGGGAGAAGGAAAAGAGGAUGGCGGGUGGCGUAGCUUACAUGGUAGGGUGAUCAUGAGAAGGAGAUUGGGAUGGCGACGGAUUUCUGAGGAGUAGUUGAGUUUGGUGAGAAUUUGCCAUUCCACUCCUUUUCUUCUGCUGCUGCCGUCCGACGCUCCUGAAUCGACGCUCUGGAUAGAAUGACCUAGCACCAGUAGGAACAGCAGCAAGUAGAAGAGAGAUUGCGUAUUACUAUUACGAAUGGGGAUCAGCCUUAAUGGAAAGGGUUUCUCUGAAUUUCCCAUCACUCUUCGGAGGACUCUACACUGCACUUCCAGUUCCACUCUACUCUACACUCCGAUCUCCACACUUUUUGUAACUACUCAACCAAAAAAAGAUAAUUAGGGCUGGCAAUUAGAUCCAAAAUCCAAUAACCCCCGGUUUUAAGAGUUGGUAAUUAAAUCCAAACUUCAAUAACCUGUCCACUAAUUUUAAAGAUUGUGCUGUAUCAAUUGGGCGAUGAGUUUUGGCGACUGAUAAAAGAACUCGCGGAAACCAAACAACAAAAAGUUUCUCGUAUAUUGAUUUUGGGGCAAAUUAUCCAUUUCGCCCUUGAACUUUUUGUCUAGGUAAAAUUAAGCCCCUUAACUAUUUUUGGUCAACUUUGAGCCCUCAAACUUGUAAAAUUGGGCACCCGUGACCCUUUUGGCCAGUUUAUCCGGUUUUGCAACCGGUAAGCAAAUUCACACAAAUGCCAGUGUGCUUUGAAGAAGGGCAUUUUUGUCCGCAUAUUCUAAGCAAAAAGGGAACAACUCCUCAUUCAUCCCUCCAUUUUCCUAACCCGUCCAAACAAGUCGAACCACACCGCAUUUUCCUUACCCCUUUUCAUCCAAACAAGUCGAACCCUAAUGUAAUACCCAAAUCCAAGUUAAACAAUAAAAAAGUUCCAACUUUUAAUCAAAUGUUGAUUAUUCGUAAAUCCCUAUUCGUUUUGGGGAAGCGUUAAACCUCCGUUGGGUGCGGCAGCUUCGAAUUUGGGAGCAGAAGCCCAAUUAGACCUGACCCGCUUGGUGGGGGGCUUCUUGGUCUUGGUCCUUUUAGUGCCGAAGUCGAAGGCGUAACUGUUGGUGUUAUUGUGGUGAUAGCUGCGGUCGGGGCGAGGGCAGGGGGCGGCGCCGUUGACGAGAUUGGUUAAAGGUCGGGUCUUGGAGGUUUUGGCAGCGAGAAAAGGGUCUCUGUGGAAGCGCCAAGUUUUGGAGGGGCGGCGAGGGUGGUGGGAAUGAUUUUCGAAAGAUUGGUGGCCGAUUUCACCUAAUCAAACAUUGGGGCGGCCUUGUCUCUUAGGGGCUAAAACAGUUAGAGGGGGGCGAUAGUGGUAGGGAAAUUAGGGAGAUGGGAGGGGGGCAGGGGAGGUGGUGGAGGAGGAGGAGAAGCAGCAAAAGAGGAGGGGGCAGGAGGGGUGGAGAUGGGUGGUGCAGAGUCAGCUGAAGAAAUAGUUAUAGGGGGGAUGAUAUCGGGAGGCUAGAGGUCAGCCAUGUGAGAUGUUUCAAACAAGUGAGUGAGAGAAUAGUAGAAAAUAGUAGAGUGGAAGAAGAAGGAGGAGGAGGAGGAGGAGGAGAGCAGAGCAGAAGUUUGCGGGAGGGAAUCUAGUGGCGUGGCUACUAUCACUGCCUGGGCGCUGUGUUGUGCUAUUGAAAGUGGUUCUCCGGUCCGGUUGUCCUUCUAACCCUUUUACCCCCCUUCCUAUCGUAGUUCGACAUGUUUGGGCGGGUAAAAUGGAGGGAAGAAUGAGGAGUUGUUCCCUUUUUGCUUAGAAUAUGUGGACAAAAAUGCCCUUCUUCAAAGCACACUGGCAUUCGUGUGUAUUGGCUUUCCGGUAGCAAAACCGAAUAAACUGGCCAAAAGGAUCACGAGUACCCAAUUUUACAAGUUUGAGGGCUCAAAGUUGACCAAAAAUAGUUAAGAGGUUUAAUUAUACCUAGACAAAAGUUCAAGGGCCAAAUGGAUAAUUUGCCCUUGAUUUUACUAGUAAGGUCUAGUUGUACUAUGCACAGCCAAUGCCCACCCAAAAUUACCCUCAAAUCCGAAAAUUCGCAAUUUUCUAUUUAAUUCAAUCCAAAAAUUAGGAUAUCCGAAUGGUAUUGUUUGAUCGGAUCAAAAGAGGGUCGGGUACCAGCUUAGAUACGAGAUAAGUUAGGGUUACAUAAUUAAAAGCCUGCGGGUACUCCACCCAUUCCGCAUAUAUAUUUUUUAUUUUUAUACACAUACUAUAAAAUAAUAUUUUUAGAACUAAAUAAGCAAUUUCAUUGAACAAAUUGCAUUACAAAUAUGAGAGUCUAUAGUUUAUUUACAAACUUCAUGUAUAAAAGUCAUGAUCUUCAAUGUCUUCUUACCAAUGCAAUAGACUUAACUACAAGGCAUUUAUUUAAAAAAAUGUGCUACUCAUUUUAAAUUUUUAUUGAUUUUGAAUUCUUUUAAUUUUUUUCCUUUUCCUUGUAUUUUUUUCGCAUGCUUAUUUCUUGGUGGGAGACUUUUUUUGAGAAAAAAACCUUUAUUAAAUCUUAGAUGAAUGUGUAAAAUACAAAAUUAAAUUUAGUACAGAUUAUUUUUUAAAAAAAUUAAAUGAUAAGUGGGGAGGGACAGGUACCCGUUGACCUGACUCUAUCUCAGCGGGUAUCCGCUUAUAGGGUACCCGCUGAUAUGCGGGGCGGAUCAGGGUUAAAAAUGGCUGACCCGCAAGGUGCGGAUUGAGUCAGCCAAAUAACAAAAUUUGAAUGAUUGUUUAUGAGUUGAGUAUCAUGUGUAAAUAUAUUAUAAAGAGUAUCUUAAUGCAUUACUGGUUAAUAAAGGGAAAAAAUUCGUUGCAAUAAAAAGCAAAUAUUAACACAUAAAUAAAAUAAAAUAAAAUAGAUAGAAAAAGUGUAUAUUAUGUUUGGUGGCAAUUCCAGUUGGUUUAUACAGGUUUAACUGGUGCUAAAUAAAAUAAGUAAAGUGACAGGCAAAGCAAAAAUCUUGAGUAUUGAAAGUAAUGGUGCAAAAGGAAAACACAAAACACAUAAAAGAAAUUAUAUGUUACUACAGUAAUAAAUAAAUGCAUAGAUUUGUUGAAGUAAAAAAUAAGACAAAUUGUAUUAUCAAACGUGAGAAAACAAGAAAGUGGAGGAAGCUUUCUCUCUGCUAUGUGAGAACGAGAAGGAAAUAAAAUAGGAAGGAAAUGAAGCACAACAAAGGUUGGUAGUGUAUGUAAGGGUGUGUACUAUACUAUUCAAGAUUAGUUUGUUGAUAAUAAUUUCAUCUAAAAAAAAUCUAUGAAAGCUAAAUUAGGCUAGAACUUUGUCUUUCAAUCUAUUGGUUAUAAACGAUGAAAUAAAAUUGAUAAUUCAUCAAAAGGUUGAUUUUCUUGUGAAGGACAACCUAAUUUUGAAGAAAAAUGUAAAUAUCUAAUCUGGUUAGGUAAUUGAGAAAAAGUUGAGUAGUUGAAGAAUAAUUGUAUUAUUUGACUUAUGACUUAUUUCAAGCAAAGCAAAGGAAAAAUAAGAGAACCAAGCAAUCUAUAAGCUAGCUUGUUGAAUAAUCUAAUAAUGCAAUAAGGUUAGAAAAACGUUUUUCUCUCCAAAUUAGAACUUAUAAUAAAUAAGCUUUAUUGAAUAAUUUAAUAAUUUGACGGUAUAGAAAAUAAGAAAAAAAAAUGCAAAUCUAAUGGUUGCCAUGAAAACAACAACAAAGAGCAUUUUAAUGAAAUAUAAUAGAGAUACACAUAUUUUUUGUCAUUAAGUCGUUAAUGCAUUCGUUUGAUUAAGAAGGAAAAAAUUAAUUGUAAUAAAAAACACAUAUUAAGGUAUAAAUGAAUUAAAAUAGAAUUGAUAACAAAAAUAUAUGAUCAUAAAGUCAAAUGCUAUCAAAUAUUUUAAUAUGAACAAAUUAAAAUAAAUUUGAAACAGAAAAAUGCACAUAACAUUAAGCAGUGGUAAUAAUAUUUUUCUUUAUAAUAAGAUGAAAUUUGUUUAAAUAAUCUUUUUUGUUACAUUAACAAAAUAACAAAAUGUCAAAGAAUAUAACAAUUUGAAAAAAUCCAUGCAAUUUGACGAAUUUUAACAAAGGCAACUUAAUUUGUCAAAUAUAACUUUAAAUGAUAAUUCAUAUUGAAAUAAAUAUAAAUAUAAAUUCAAAUAAUAAUGAUAAUAAUGUUGUAAUCUGUAAGGCCCAAAGACAACCUAAGAGGGGGGGUGAAUUAGGUUGAUUAAAAUCUUAAUCAAAUUUAUGCAAUUUUUCUUUAAUAAAAAUUUACCUUCUUUUCUAGUAAUGAUCAACCAAGUAGAUUAGAAGAAGAGAGCAAUGUUGAUUAGAAAGACAGGUAUAGAUAAGCAAUGAGAAUUUUAUUAAACAAAAAGAAUAAGAUAGAAUAUCAAACCGAUUGUCUACCAAGCUUUCCUCAAACUUGAAGACCAAUCACUAGGUUGAGCAACUUCUCUUUGAUGAAAGAUGAUCAACUAGAUGUACAAUGGAGGGAGCACUUCCUCCUUGCCCUAAGCCCCACUUAGACAAGCUAAGAAGUUUUACAAUCACUCAGAUAACCCUCAACAAAGCUACACUAAUGAAACUUUCAACCACAAGAGAAAUGCUCACAAGAAAUUCACACCACUUGGAGAACAAAUCUAGCUUUGGAGACUAUUUUCUAGCUAAAAUAUCUCUUGAGAUCUUGUAAACAAAGUGUGCAAAAGUCCUUGUCUGAUAAGGAAUCGUUUGUAUUUAAAGGGAACCAAAAAUAGGUUUCAUUAAUACUUUCAACGGAUAGAAGGCAGAUGAAGAGUCAGCUAGCCGUUGGGGCUGUCGGACGUCCGACAGCUUAGUCAUCGUUCGAUCCCAUCGUCCGAAAAUCAGUCAAGUUGUUGUUCGGACGUCCGAUGGGAUUUUAUCGUCCGAGCUUCUGUGUCCGAACGUCGUCCAGAGAGUUAUCAAAGCUUCGUGGAAUUUUUAGGACGUCCGAUGAGAUUGAUGUGCGUCCGAAGCAUGCGUCCGAUCCUUCAGGACGUCCGAUGCUUCCUUACGAGCGUCCGACAGAGUUUCCUUCUUGAUGUUCUUCAUCCUUUCGGACGUCUGACAGAUUCCUUCGGACGUCCGACAUGAGUGUCCUGUUUUUGCUUCUUCUUUUAGUUGAUUUUCAUUUCUUGACAUAUUCGUACAUGAUUCUUUGAUAGGCAAAAAAUACUUAUAUUUGAAGAGAGUUAGAUAAACAUUUCAAAGUACUUUGUGAUCAUCAAAACCAAGAAUAACAUUCUCCCCCUUUUUGAUGAUGACAAAACAAUGGUUUGAAAUGAGAUUUGAUGAUUGCAAUAUAAGCUCCCCCUUUCUCAAUUGACAAAAACUCCCCCUUACUUAGUGGAUCAUAGAGCAAAAAUUUGAAAAACUCCCCCUCACUUGACUACCCUACUGAAUUAAUCAAUCAUCCAAAAAAUAUAACAAUUAAGCAGCCAACAUCCAACAUUUUACCAAUUCAAUCCAUCAAGACAAUUCAAUUUCAAUUAAAUCAUCAAUCAAUCCAAUCCAGUCCUCUCCCCCUUUUUGUCAUCACAAACGCCCAAUCAAUCACAUAUAUCACGGAGAACCAAUAACAUUCAUCAUGAUCCACACAUUCAUCAUUCAAAAUACUUAAACAUCCAUCCACAUAUCCAUAACCAUUACAGCCAUAAUCAUCCAUCAAAAAGUACUAAACGAACACAACAUAAACAUAAGCAUUAUAUCUACAUAUCCAUUGUUGAACACCACAAACACUAGAAACAUAUGAAAUAGUCAAACAAAAUGUAAAUGACCCUAUGUGAUCCUAAAUGAUGAACUAGGUGGAUCCAGGUGUCCUUCGAGAAAGUUGAUAUUGGGAGAGGUCCUCCUCUUCAGUUUCUUCAUCAUCUUCAGCAGCUUCUUCAACUGGUGCCUUGCCUUUGUCUGAUGUGGAAGGGCCAUGAGGAGUCACGGAAGUUGAUGAACUCGGGUUUGGAAUUGAUAAACUUGGAUCAGUGGGGCGUGGCUCUUUGCCAUGGGAAACUUCCUCAACCACAGGUGGGGGAAAAAGAAGGUUCUUUUUGUCUAGGUAGGCUGUUUGUUGCUCAGAGGACAUGGUGAGCAUUAGACCAUGUUCCAGAAGAAGAACAUGCUGUUUGAGUUCACGAAAGAGCUCAAUCACUUCAUUAUUGGAGGAGGAAGAUGCCUUAGUGACAGACUUCCUGGGAUGAAUGGAAGUGAGUACAACAGAUGAAGGAGUGUGUAGUGGAUCAUGUGCAGCCUUAGACCUAGGUUCACUAGAUGAUGCCCCCUUAUAAGCCCAUAGAUUAUCCUUAAAGACAAGAUUUUUCCUUUCAAAAUAUCCUUUGGUAAAGGCAUAAGAAGAUGCUUCUUUGGGACAAACACCUAGAAUUGGUACUUUGUAAAACUCAAAAUUCUUUUGAAGAAAUUUUCCAUAAGAUAAUUUUCUGCGAGAAUCAGUGGCAUAGUGAAGUAAAAACUUGCACAUGACAAAACCAAAAUCAAUACGAAUCUUUUCUCGAAAACAGUAAAAGAGAUACAACUCCAUUUUGUUUGCAUCUGUUCUAUGGCCAUCAGUAGGCACAAGCAGGUUUGAAAUGAUUGAAAAGGCAAUUAGAUUCACAGGGGCAAGAUCAUUCAGUUUAGCAUCAGCAGGGGCAGAAAAACUCCUUUUAAAAUAAGUCAACAUCUUAGCCCCAUCAAAAUGAUUAUCAGCAGUAGGAUGCUCUUCAUAGGAAAAGAAAUUUGCAAUUUUACUCUUGCAUCCAGGUUCAAUAGUAGUUUUUAAAAUAUCAUUCACAAUUUCAGAAUCAAAAACUAAGUCUACCCCAUUAACCCUGGACAUAAUCUCAGUUUGAUCAGUGCCUUUCCUAAGAUUGGCAAAGAAUUGAAACAUCAUUUCAGGAUAAUAGACAUUAGGCAUAGAAAUGAGAUGUGACAUUUCUGGAAAGCAAAUAGACUCAGAAUUGAUUCUAAACCUAUUUGGUGAAAUUCAGAAGGAUUUACGGUGCGUUGA